rnacentral:rRNA from 1 species
UACGUAGGGGGCAAGCGUUGUCCGGAUUUAUUGGGCGUAAGGAGCGUGUAGGCGGUCUGGUAGGUCCGUUGUGAAAACUCGAGGCUCAACCUCGAGACGCCGAUGGAAACCCUCAGACUAGAGUCCGGUAGGGGGGUGUGGAAUUCCCAGUGUAGCGGUGAAAUGCGCAGAUAUUGGGAGGAACACCAAUGGCGAAGGCAGCACCCUGGGCCGGUACUGACGCUGAGGAGCGAAAGCGUGGGGAGCAAACAGG